rnacentral:rRNA from 1 species
ACGGGUGGUAAUACCGGAUGCUCCGCUCCAUCGCAUGGUGGGGUGGGAAAUGCUUUUGCGGCAUGGGAUGGGGUCGCGUCCUAUCAGCUUGUUGGCGGGGUGAUGGCCCACCAAGGCGUUGACGGGUAGCCGGCCUGAGAGGGUGACCGGCCACAUUGGGACUGAGAUACGGCCCAGACUCCUACGGGAGGCAGCAGUGGGGAAUAUUGCACAAUGGGCGCAAGCCUGAUGCAGCGACGCCGCGUGCGGGAUGGAGGCCUUCGGGUUGUAAACCGCUUUUGUUCAAGGGCAAGGCACGGUUUCGGCCGUGUUGAGUGGAUUGUUCGAAUAAGCACCGGCUAACUACGUGCCAGCAGCCGCGGUAAUACGUAGGGUGCGAGCGUUAUCCGGAUUUAUUGGGCGUAAAGGGCUCGUAGGCGGUUCGUCGCGUCCGGUGUGAAAGUCCAUCGCCUAACGGUGGAUCUGCGCCGGGUACGGGCGGGCUGGAGUGCGGUAGGGGAGACUGGAAUUCCCGGUGUAACGGUGGAAUGUGUAGAUAUCGGGA